AUUUAAGCUAAUUUCUUUGAGUUCUGGAUCACUGUGUCUCUUGUGUUUUCAAAUAAAGCCUUUGCAGCCAGUGACUGCCAUUUGGUUCUUACCUUCUCUGUGGUCAUAAGCCUUGUUAACAGUGGUGUUAUUGUUUAUAUUUUUUCAUAAAUAAAUUAACAUUGUUAUAAUGUUUUUGUCAUACGAAAUUGUGACAACAUUUGGAGUGUCAGCGUUGCUUUCGUUCUUCGUGUCAGUUACGGUUCUACUCACGGUGGUAUCACGACGUGGACUCCUCCGACCGGCUGCCAUUAAACAGCCAUUGGUUCCGCAUACGAAGGAGAGGCCUCUACCAUCUGCUCCUGAGCUGACUCCUUUAGCUGACUCUGCAUAAAACAAUUUUAUGGAGAUAAUUAGUUAGCGGGGUUUCCGAUAUAGGUGGAUAUUUGUAUAUUAUUUUGAUAUCAAGCAUAGGGUCACAUUACAACAUGUCGCUUUUGUCUAUUUUGUAUGGAUUGUCAAACUUUCAUAAAAAUAGCUGUUUCGUAUGCUAGAAUAAAAGAAUUAGUGGGUUCAGUAAGAUAAGCCCUGUUAAUACGAUUUCUGAAAAUGAAAUUCAUUGUCGGGUACCUUUAUGCAUUUUCAAUACGGUUAGUAGAGUUUGCAUAUCUUGAAAAAGUAAAUAGAUUUAGAGUUUAAGAAUAAUGAAUGGAAUUAAAAAAUUUGCAAUGCACAUUAAGUAUUAGUUUUCAGUUUAGAUAAUUAACAUAUUUUUUAAUAAGUACCUUCUUGGAAUUUAUCUCAUUAUGAACGUGAUUAAUAUUAAUAUGUGCAAACGUUUACCUACUACGCUUAGCGGACCCGUAAAUAAUACUUUGUGAUAGAAAAAGUAAAACAUAAUUUUAAAGACUUUCAAACCAGGAGCAUUUUUAUUAAACUUGUUAUAUCGGUUACAAAAUUAUUGAAGUUUACGAAAAUCAUGAAAGCUUUCGAGAUGUGCAAACUUGUUCAAGGAGUAAGCCUAUCAUUUCCUGUAUUCAGUAUUUAAUUUAAGAUGUAUUGUUUCUGAUAAUUAUCAUUCUGUCAAGUGUGAGCAUCGCAUCCAACUAGACGAUAAUAUGACAAACAUUUCUGAAAUGAAUUCGUUAAUGUGACCUUAGGCUGCCAUCUGGGUGCCAUCUGCAUUUGUGAUUUACCUAUCUCGAUUAUCAUAUUGAUCUAAUCAACUACUAAUUACUAUCAGUAGUAUAUUUGAUUAAGUAUUAUAAUAUGUAGUUCGUAGUAUAUUAUAAGUAGCUAGAAGCUCUACAGACUUAAAAUUUUCGGAAAUAAAUAUAGACCUACUUCUAAUUUAUUUUACAUGUAUAGAUUGUUACCUACGCAAUUUUUUACCCCAAUAAGUAUGGUAAGGCAUGAAAAACAAACCAAGUUUUGUUUAUUUUAUAAUAAAUUAAAAAUCUAAGUAAAUUUUA